GUGGUACCCGCGGGUGGAGGGCUCUGGAAUCCCUGAGCAGUUUCCUGGGAUCCCUUCCACGGCUGUGGCUGGAGCAGCUGGAAUGACCUUGCUGUAAACUUUGGCUCCUCUGCAGCCUGGAGGAGUGUGAAGGUCACCCUGGAGGUGUGCAAAGAGAAGGAGAAAAAAAUAUCCCCGAGCUGAUGGGGCAGCAAGGGAAAACUGAUUUUUAGUGAGGAUCUUCAUGGAGGAGGAGGGUUUGCUCCUUUGGGUGGUUUUUAGGGUGAAGGAAAUGGCGGAGAGGCUCAGAGUGAUGCCACAACCAGAGGCACAAAGAAGUCGUGGAUUCCUCAUCCCUGGAAUUGUCCAAGCCAAGGCUCCGGAGGCAGAGAAGCUGCUGGGAAUCACCUCCUCCCCGAUAGGGAGCCACGCUCUAAUUAAGAAGAAACCUCCACAAGCCCCUUACAAAGUCUGAGUGGCAGCUGAUUAUUGUAGCAAAGUGCAACCUCUGCCAUUUUGUCAAGCAAGCCCAUCAAAUUAGGGCGAAAUAAGAUGUCCAUCUGUUUCCUGAAUGGCAGCGCCGCCAAAAAAUCAGAUUCCCACCAGUUCCUUAAGUCCCAAUUAUUCCCAGAUUAUCUUUUGAGAUGGGGAGAUCGGCGCUGAAUAAACCUCGUGGCCUCGUUACUGACAGCCUGGUGCAUCCCUAAGGAGGGCAGGG